AUUGAACGCUGGCGGAAUGCUUUACACAUGCAAGUCGAACGGCAGCACGGACUUCGGUCUGGUGGCGAGUGGCGAACGGGUGAGUAAUGUAUCGGAACGUGCCCGGUCGUGGGGGAUAACGUAGUGAAAAUUACGCUAAUACCGCAUACGAUCUAUGGAUGAAAGCGGGGGAUCGCAAGACCUCGCGCGAUUGGAGCGGCCGAUAUCAGAUUAGGUAGUUGGUGGGGUAAAGGCCCACCAAGCCAACGAUCUGUAGCUGGUCUGAGGGGACGACCAGCCACACUGGAACUGAGACACGGUCCAGACUCCUACGGGAGGCAGCAGUGGGGAAUUUUGGACAAUGGGCGAAAGCCUGAUCCAGCCAUUCCGCGUGCAGGAUGAAGGCCCUCGGGUUGUAAACUGCUUUUGUACAGAACGAAAAGGUUUCUACUAAUACUAGGAGCUCAUGACGGUACUGUAAGAAUAAGCACCGGCUAACUACGUGCCAGCAGCCGCCGUAA
rnacentral:rRNA from 1 species